UGGGUAUGAAAGAGGCGUGUCUUCGAGGGAGGAAGAGUGUAAUAACUUCAAUAGAGAAGAGGCGAGGGGAGGUGAACCUUGGGAAACACACGGCCUUCCUUUUCCAAAACCAGCAACUUGCAAUGUCAGCAAAACCCCACUUGUCUGGGUAAAUUCACUGUACUCCUGGUGGCAUUACAAAUACAGCGCAAGCAGCCAAAAAACCCUCUCAAAGUUCCAUCCUUUUUCCAAAGACAGGCACACUUCCCCAUCUCUUCCAUCCCACCUCUUGAAUUGAAGAGGAAGAGAUCUCUAUCCUUCCUGCCAUCUUUCUUAGCAAUAAAAAACUUGCACCGUUAAAGAAAGGAGGAGAGUGUGAGACGCAAAGGGUGUAUGAUUGUGCUCUCUCUCUCGCUCUCUCUCUGUGUCUGCCUUGCUUGGAAAUCCUCUCGUUACUCUUCCCACCACCUCUUCCACCUUCACCGUCAGCAGCCACGGCAUCGCAGUUGGGUUAUUGGGGACGACGUUGCUUGGUACGAAUUUCAAGGCAGCUGAUCAGUUCUCCAGUAGCCGGCAGACAGACAAGCUGUUCAUACAUGUAGAGAAGAGAGCUUAAAUGAGUUUUUGUUAGAUAGGUUCUGUAGAUUGGUUGAAUGUGGUACACACAUCUCUAGCAAUCAAAGCACCAGCUAUCCACAUUUAGAUCCAAGAGGCGUUAAAGGUUUUUGGGAUGUUUGAUUUGUGAAUUAUCUUCAAGGAUAAGGACCUGCAGGACGGUGGUGAAUUCACAAGUGACAAACUUGGCUGAUUCACAGAGUUGUUGAUCAUUGGUAGACUCAGCUUUUAUUGUUGCUGCAUCUAGUCUUUUAACUACAUUCUGUAAUUGGGAUUCAAGUUAACCACGGAGAGUGAUUCUUCUGGUUUGGAAAGAAGGGAUUGUCCAUUGAUAUACUGCAAGGUCUCUGGCAUUGUGAAAUUAAUUCUGUAGUUGAAAGUAAUUGAUCUUAUCCGGGGUGUUGGGAAUUUUGGGAACAAGAAGGAUUUCAAUGAGUUUCGAACAUUCUGAACCAGAAACAACUUUGCCAAGAGGCAUAAUCAAUCUGCAAGAUCAUUCAAGCAGCCUUAUGGAUGUGAGAGCAAGAAAGAUCACUGCUAAUAAUCAUCGUGCCCCUCCUAAUACAAGUGCAGAGGAAAAGAAAAUUGAGUAUAAUCGAUCACUCUCACAAGGGAGCACCAGAAGGUUGUUGACUACAAGCCAUUUCAGCUUGGCAUCAUUGCUUUUGCUCAUGUGUAUUACUGCAUCUUUGUUGAUUCUUCCUUUGGUACUAGCGCCAUUGCCUCCGCCACCUUUCAUGUUACUUCUGCUACCAAUAGGUAUCUUGGUAGUGCUCAUAGUCUUGGCUUUCAUGCCUUCUAAUGCAAGGGAUAUAACUUUUGCAUAUGUGUAAAUGGUGUUUCAAGAAAACUUAUGCACCUGUGUCUCUUAACACAACUUUUGUAACUCUCUGAAAAUGUUGAUAAAGAAAAGAUAAAGGUUCUUUUA